rnacentral:miRNA from 1 species
CAUUGGAUCCAUCGGAUCCAUCUUUUUUUUUUUAGUACUUCUAAAAAAAGAUGGAUCCGAUGGAUCCAAU